rnacentral:rRNA from 1 species
AGCGAACGUUAGCGGCGCGCCUAACACAUGCAAGUCGCACGAGAAAGGGAGCAAUCCCCGGUACAGUGGCGCACGGGUGAGUAACACGUAGAUGACCUUCCCUGGAGUGGUGGAUAACCUGCCGAAAGGCGGGCUAAUACAGCAUGGGACCACAUGGUUUUGACCGAGUGGUGAAAGCGGGCCUCUGUUCACAAGCUCGCGCUCUGGGAUGGGUCUGCGUCCCAUCAGCUAGUUGGUGAGGUAAUGGCUCACCAAGGCAUCGACGGGUAGCUGGUCUGAGAGGAUGACCAGCCACACUGGAACUGAGACACGGUCCAGACUCCUACGGGAGGCAGCAGUGGGGAAUCUUGCGCAAUGGGCGAAAGCCUGACGCAGCGACGCCGCGUGGGUGAUGAAGGCCUCGGUUGUAAGUACCGU